rnacentral:tRNA from 1 species
CGGGGUGUGGCGCAGCCUGGUAGCGCACUUGCAUGGGGUGCAAGGGGUCGUGGGUUCAAAUCCCGCCUCCCCGACCA